CCUCCUGGGUCCAUAGGUCAACACUCAACCGCCGAGCCACACCCGUUAGGCAAAGCUUUUUUUUUUUAAACCUGGUGAGGAAAAUCUUUUCUACCAGCCUCCCAGCCAACUUAUCCUCAGUGGACCGAACCGGCUCAGUGUCCAUUGCUAUCCCCAUAUCUGUGAAGGAAGGAGGAGAAGGGACUGGUUCUGACUGGGGCUGAGGUCCACCAUCGCCCAAACAGAACCUGUUCUGCUCCCCAGAGAACUGGUGCCUGCGAGCCUGGAAGCGGGUGAGCCCUGGAUAGUGCCUGCCACACACAUGCUGCCUGAGGGGCCAGCAGAACUGCCAGGGGGGUGUCCCAGGGCAGCGGCAGGUGGGGGCUGGAGCUCAGGAGGGUGGGGAGCUCGGAAUACUGUCCCUUUGGGACGCUCUAGGCUGCGUGCCCCAGGCAGGGAAGAAGCGUGUGGGGGGGGCACAGGACCAGGAACCCCUUACCUGUGGUUUUUACUGGGGAGAAAGCCCAGCUCCCCAGCUGCAUGGGGGAAAAGCUGGGCCGGGCCAGGGUGAGUGAGGGUGGGCCGGCACCUUCACCUCCAGGGCAGCCCAUAAGCCUCUUUUCCGUCACUGGCUAGACUUUCCCUGUAGCAUAGUGUCAGAGCAGGAGUGUAGAUGCUUCUGUUGCAGAAGCAUUCCUUUUAUAUAACUUUUCCCCUGAUUACAGAAGAAAUAAAUGAUCAGAAAACUAGAAGCAGCACAAAUGAAGAGAGAAAAAAAGAAGUCAGCCCGGGGAGCAAGCACACUUCUUGAAUCCCUCCCCGGGGCCCGGUAACUUUUUAUGACUCCUGGACAUUGCGAUGCGGGCAAAGGCAGGAAUUGUUCCUCCCUCCUCUCCCCCCACCAGAUGAGGAGACCAAGGCUCAGAAAGAUCCAUGGAGCCCCUCCCUCACCCUAUCAUCUCGUGGCUGUUGCCGAAAGAAGUCCACGCUAAGAAAACGUCUUCUAAGAGCGUAUUUGAGCCAAACUGGUGACAAUUGCCAGGAAGCAAAAUCUCAAUGGACUGAGAAAAUGCCCCGAGGAUGGCGGUUUUGCCGUUUGUUUUAUACGUUAGAAUCCAAGGAGGAGCUGUAAGGGGUGUUACAGAAGCUCCAUCCACGCAGGUUAGGCAGGACGGAGGACGCAAAGCAGGGAACUCUCUGAGAUUGGAUAGACUAAAACAGAACAACAAAAGAAGAGAGACGCACUUCCCUUACAUUGGUAGGCACAGGACAGCGAGUGUUUACAGCACAUGGAGAUGGUAUGUGGGCAACAAGAUAAGGUGUGGUCUCACGCUCAGGUGCCUGCGGCUGUGCUUUGAGGGUUUUGGAAAAGAGAGCUGCUCUGGCCUUUCAAAGGUCUGCUACCAAAGACAAUAGAAACCUCAGAGGUAAAGACUGGCCUAGGACUUGACAACCAACCAUGACCCGCCUUGAGUUAGGAAUUUUGUCCUUGCUGUUAAUCCUCACCCGAGGAUAUUUUUUCCAUUGAUUUUUAGGGAGAAAGGGAGGGAGAGAGAGAGAGAAAGAGAGAGAGAGAAACAUCAAUGUGAGAGAGACACAUCCAUUGGUUGCCUCCCACCCUCGCUCAGAUUGGGGCUGUGGAUCGAACCUGCAGCCGGUGGGACUCGGCAGAAAGAGCUCCCCUUGGGGACAGACCUCCUGGAGGCUCCCAGGGAGACUGGUUUUCCCUGGGCUGAGGACAUUCCAGAUUGGGCCGGAGAAGGCCGGGCCAGCCCAGCACGGCUUAGCAGCAAGCCACGGGGCUGUAUUCCAUCAGAGAACUGAGGGGAGGCAGAGAGAGAAAAGUUUGGGAGACUCAAGAGCAGAUAAUGGGCAUGGCGCCCUGGGAAUAACAACAUGGCUCACGGUUACAGAACACGGUCACCAGCGCAGGCGCAUUGGAAGCACUUUGCAGACAAGAAUGCACUUAUCUUCACACUCAGCAUGAGAGAGAGGUAGGGUUGUUCUCCUUAUUUUAUAGAUGAGAAAGCACAGAGAUGUCAAUAACUUUCCGGAGGUCACACAGCUAGCGGUCUGAGGCAAGGCAAUUUGGCCUGAGAGUCCUGAUCUAACCACUGCACCAUACUACCCGGCUGUUCUGGCAGCUGUUCCUAGCAAGGGGUGAGUGGUAGUCUGGGGUGAAGGUCACUGGGAGCCCAGAGAGACACAGACCAGUAUGAAACAGUCCCUACAGGACGCAGCAGCGGUUUGGAUGUGGGGGGCAGGUGGGAUCAUCUGUGUCAGCAUCAGGAGCCCGGGCGGGAAGCAGGACCAUGAAAGCCUACAGUUAAAACACUCGCUUCCAGCCCAGCCGGUGUGGCUCACUGGCUGAGGGUCAACCUAUGACCCCGGAGGUCACAGCUCGAUUCCUGGUCGGGACACAUGCCCUGGUUGCGGGCUUGGGCUCCAGUAGGGGGCAUGCA